rnacentral:rRNA from 1 species
UACGUAGGGGGCUAGCGUUGUCCGGAAUCAUUGGGCGUAAAGAGCGUGUAGGCGGCUCGGUAAGUCCGCUGUGAAAGUCCAGGGCUCAACCCUGGAAUGCCAGUGGAAACUGUCGAGCUAGAGUCCGGAAGAGGCGAGUGGAAUUCCUGGUGUAGCGGUGAAAUGCGCAGAUAUCAGGAGGAACACCAUGGCGAAGGCAGCUCGCUGGGACGGUAACUGACGCUGAGACGCGAAAGCGUGGGGAGCAAACAGG